UGAAUUCACUAUUGUAAGUCGCUCUGGAUAAGAGCGUCUGCUAAAUGACUAAAA
rfam:Salmo salar isolate Sally breed double haploid chromosome ssa24, whole genome shotgun sequence.